rnacentral:rRNA from 1 species
CAGUCGCCAGGGAAUACGGAGGGGGCUAGCGUUGUUCGGAAUUACUGGGCGUAAAGCGCACGUAGGCGGCUUUUUAAGUCAGAGGUGAAAGCCCGGGGCUCAACUCCGGAACUGCCUUUGAGACUGGAAGGCUUGAACGUCGGAGAGGUGAGUGGAAUUCCGAGUGUAGAGGUGAAAUUCGUAGAUAUUCGGAAGAACACCAGUGGCGAAGGCGGCUCACUGGACGACUGUUGACGCUGAGGUGCGAAAGCGUGGGGAGCAAACAGGAUUAGAUACCCCAGUAGUCCCUGUCUCUUAUACA